UCUCUUUCCCUUUUUUUGCUGCUUUCAGUUUUUCCAAUUCUCCUUAUGCAAUUUCUUUUCAUGGUUUGAUAGCUAGUUGUGGUGGAUUAGGUAGGCUUGGUUGUGUAGAAUGCCCAUAGUUGGUAGUUUUUCCAAUUCACUGCUCUUAGUAUGUAAAAUGCAAUGCUUUUUUAGCAUGCUACAUAGCUGUUUGAUGAAAUGCCUGAGAGGGAUAUGGCCAUUAGAGGGGUUGGUUGUUCAGUAGGAUUUUAGAUGGGUUUGAAAUUUCUUGAUAAUAAUUCUAGUUUAUUUUGAUGCUAAUAACUUAAUCUUUUUGAGUAUAUUAUAUUGAUGAAUCCGUUGAUGAGGAUAUGCUUUGGCACCAUGAGCUAAUUGGUGGGAGAACAAGCUGGGCUACUUUGGCACGUUUUCUCCUACACAGAAUGAUAUCCAUUGUUUACUUGCUACAAAUUAAGCCAUGGGUAAAUGUCUACUGUCAUUUCCUACAGAUUCAUCUGAUGAGGAAGGGAAUUCAAGGCCUAGGUUCCAUGAGUUUAACCAACACACUGGCAUGAAGAAUGUAUAGCUAAUAGAUGGACUCAAAUUUGUAUCACAUGUAGUCUUCAAGGAGGCACUAAAGGAGUGGUGUAUUAGAGAAAAUCAUGAUUAGGCAAUAAGUGGAGAGUAAAAACUAGAUGCAAAAAUAAUUCUAAUAAAAAAAAGUGGUUGGAAGAUAGAUGCAUCCCAAACACAAAUGGGUGUUAUUUUUUUGAAACAAUUUACUAUUUGUAAAUGCUCAUUGAUAUUUUAAUUCAUGGUAGUUGAGGAGAACAUUUUACUCUUUGUAAACCUUUUGGUUUGAUAUUUCAUCAUUUAAUGUAUAUCAAAGCAAUCAAAUAAA